rnacentral:rRNA from 1 species
AGAGUUUGAUCCUGGCUCAGGAUGAACGCUAGCGGCAGGCUUAACACAUGCAAGUAGAACGGUAACAGUCCUUCGGGAGCUGACGAGUUGCGAACGGGUGCGUAACGCGUAUGCAACCUACCUAUAACAGAGGGAUAGCCCAUAGAAAUGUGGAUUAAUACCUCAUAACAUCUUAAGAUGGCAUCAUCUAAAGAUUAAAACUCCGGUGGUUAUAGAUGGGCAUGCGUGACAUUAGCUAGUUGGUGAGGUAACUGCUCACCAAGGCAACGAUGUCUAGGGGUUCUGAGAGGAUGAUCCCCCACACUGGUACUGAGACACGGACCAGACUCCUACGGGAGGCAGCAGUGAGGAAUAUUGCGCAAUGGAGGAAACUCUGACGCAGCCAUGCCGCGUGCAGGAAGACUGCCCUAUGGGUUGUAAACUGCUUUUAUAUAGGAAGAACUACAGAUACGUGUAUUUGUUUGACGGUACUAUACGAAUAAGGACCGGCUAACUCCGUGCCAGCAGCCGCGGUAAUACGGAGGGUCCAAGCGUUAUCCGGAUUUAUUGGGUUUAAAGGGUCCGUAGGCGGGUCAUUAAGUCAGUGGUGAAAUCCUACAGCUCAACUGUAGAACUGCCAUUGAAACUGAUGACCUUGAAUAUAAUUGAAGUGGGCGGAAUGUGUCAUGUAGCGGUGAAAUGCUUAGAUAUGACACAGAACACCGAUUGCGAAGGCAGCUCACUAAGUUAUUAUUGACGCUGAGGGACGAAAGCGUGGGUAGCGAACAGGAUUAGAUACCCUGGUAGUCCACGCC